rnacentral:rRNA from 1 species
UACGGAGGGUGCAAACGUUGCUCGGAAUCAUUGGGCGUAAAGCGCACGUAGGCGGACUGUUAAGUCGGAUGUGAAAGCCCUCGGCUUAACCGAGGAAGUGCAUUCGAAACUGGCAGUCUUGAGUACAGAAGAGGGUCGCGGAAUUCCCGGUGUAGAGGUGAAAUUCGUAGAUAUCAGGAGGAACACCGGUGGCGAAGGCGGCAUCCUGGACCGACAUUGACGCUGAGGAGCGAAAGCUAGGGGAGCAAACGGG